UACAGAGGUCUCAAGCGUUGUUCGGAUUCAUUGGGCGUAAAGCGUGCGCAGGCGGUUGUGUAAGUCUGUCGUGAAAUCCCCGGGCUCAACCUGGGAAUUGCGAUGGAGACUGCACGGCUAGAGUGUGUCAGAGGGGGGUAGAAUUCCACGUGUAGCAGUGAAAUGCGUAGAUAUGUGGAGGAACACCGAUGGCGAAGGCAGCCCCCUGGGAUAACACUGACGCUCAUGCACGAAAGCGUGGGGAGCAAACAGG
rnacentral:rRNA from 1 species